rnacentral:rRNA from 1 species
GACGAACGCUGGCGGCGUGCUUAACACAUGCAAGUCGAACGGAAAGGCCCCUUUGGGGGUACUCGAGUGGCGAACGGGUGAGUAACACGUGUGUAACCUGCCCUUGACUUCGGGAUAACUUCAGGAAACUGGGGCUAAUACCGGAUAGGAAUCCUUGCUGCAUGGUGGGGGUUGGAAAGCUUCGGCGGUUUUGGAUGGACUCGCGGCUUAUCAGCUUGUUGGUGGGGUAGUGGCUUACCAAGGCUUUGACGGGUAGCCGGCCUGAGAGGGCGACCGGCCACAUUGGGACUGAGAUACGGCCCAGACUCCUACGGGAGGCAGCAGUGGGGAAUAUUGCACAAUGGGCGGAAGCCUGAUGCAGCAACGCCGCGUGCGGGAGGACGGCCUUCGGGUUGUAAACCGCUUUCAGCAGGGGCGAAGCUUGUGGUGACGGUACCUGCAGAAGAAGCACCGGCUAACUACGUG